AACAAACAUACGAACCUAUUUUGAACGUUGGAGAUGAAAAUAUCGAAGAAAGCGAGCGUCGUGAACAGUUUGUGAUCGAGGGGACGAAGGCUUUGUUUAUACACCGCGUUUGGAUAAUUGUAUUUUUGCCGUUGUUUUAAUAUGUCAGGAUACGGUUAAACGUUUGAAGUAAUAUUGAACAGUAUGGUUGGCUCUAAUUGUGCUUUGUAUGACUGUCCGACCAGCAGAACGCG